UUGGAUUGGCAAUUUCCGAAAAAGUAUCACCUUCUGGCUUCUACAUUAGGGAAAAAAGGGUCUUGAUUACCUGUACCUUUAAAAUCCUACAGCCCCUAUAAUUAAUGGCUUACUAGUUUUUUCCUUUCUUUUUGUCAUGUUAGGUGUAAAUUGUAAUAUUAUGAAAACUUCUAUUUCUUGGAAUUGGUUAGGGGAUAAUGGUAUGAUGACUCGUCUCUUUGGUGUUGAAGAUGACUUUGGAGAAGAUGCAAUCCUUGGCAGGCUUGAGGGCAGGAAAGACGUAAUCGAGCAAGUGAACCAGCAAUUCAGGGAUCCAUGAUGACAGACGUAUAAAAUUAUUCAGGUUUUGCACCGCAUUCGCCCCAGUUGAAGUGGAUAUGAGCAUGAAUUUAUGGGAAAGAACAUUCGCCCCAAUUAAUUCUUUUGGUUCCUUCUAAAAAAGAAGUGGAAAGAGAAAUAGAAAUUGAUGAAGAAGAAGAACAAGAAGAGGAACCAACGACCCCUAUUGGGAUACAUAGAUUUCGACAGUCAUCAACAAGAUCACAUGAAGAACAACAACAACAACAAAAACAACAAAGACAAGCUCGUGAUGAAGAUGAACCAGUAAGACAACCUUUUCUGGCAAUGCCACCUCCUAGUGGUACAACUGUUUCACAUGUGUGGUCGUAUUUUACAAAAGAACCAACCGAUAAUCCAGAUGUUUUCUUAUGCACUUGUCAAAUUUGUGAAAGUCAAGGAGUAAAGCCCUUAGUUUCAUACAAUUUCACCAGAGGUGGUGGUACGAGAUCUUUUAACAAACAUUUGGCAAAGAAGCAUGGAAUCACAAAAGAAACUCAUGCAGCAAGCGGCAGUGGGACCACAAGUGGAAGCCGACAGUGGGACAUUCUCAGCACAGGUAUGCCUUUUAAAUAUAAUCGUAAUGAUAUGAUUGAUGAAUUUUCUAAAUAAGUAAUUUUUGAUGAAUUGCCAUUUAACCAUGGUGAAAGUAGGGCAUACGAGCAUUACACUAGAAAAACUUUGCAACCACAAUAUAGAGCAAUCCCUAGGAACACUCUUAAACGACGCACAAUUAAAUUAUAUGAAUCAAUGCGCUAUGAAUUAGUAGAAAUGUUUAAAUCAUUUAAUGGUAAGGUUAGCAUAACAACUGGUAUUUGGUCUGCUCCCCCACAUAUAGAAGCUUAUAUGUGUGUAACAGCACAUUGGAUAGAUCAAAGUUGGAUUAUUCAAAAAAGAAUAAUUGCUUUUGAGGGAACGCUCGAAAGACAUACGGGUGAAAAUAUAAAAUACAGAUUAAUAGAGAUAUGUAAAGAAUGGAACUUAUUAAAUAAGAUAUUUUGUUGUUCUACCGAUAAUGCAACCGCCAACAUUAAAUGCAUCGAACUUUUGUAUAACGAACUUGCAUUUAGUUUUAUCCUUGAGGGUAGAUUAUUACACAUACGUUGUUGUGCUGAUAUAGUAAACUUAUCUUGCCAAGCAGGUAUAAAACAAUUAAGUCAUUUAUUAGAUCCCAUUAGAGACAUAGUGAAGUGGCUUAGAAUUGGACAGAUAAAGAGAAGAUAUAAGCAAUUAUGUGACCAUUAUCAACUAAAAAAAGUGUAUUGGUCAUUAGAUACUCCUACACGUUGGGGCUCAACCAACGAUUUAUUAAGAAAGCGAUUUCUUAUCGUCCAGUUAUAACACAACGUUAUAGUGAGUGUACAGAUAGCUAUAUAAAUGAUGACACAUGGGAACAUAGCUAUAGGUGUACAGAAAAUAUUAGAAACGUAUGACCACGCAACUAAGAUUUUUUCAUAUGUUUACGAACCAAACGUCUACUUAGUAAUAAGUGAGUGUAUUACUAUUUUUUAUCAUCUUCUUAAACAUUUGCAUGAUGAUACUAACCCAUAUUUAAAGCCGAUUCUUGCAGAUAUGAUGGAUAAGAAGAAGACAUAUUUUACUGAGUUUCCUUUUAUUUAUGAAAUUGCGACAAUUUUAGACCCAUGUUUUAUGACAGAAGUCCUUACUAAAGUAAUUGGAUUUUACUACCAAUCAUUAGAUCGCCCGCCUAAUGAUGUACAUAAUUAUGUUGGAACUUGUAAAAAACUUUUAGUAGAACUUUAUGAUUACUAUGCUAGUGUAUAUAACCCAAGUCGCGAUACGUCUAGGCGUGCUAGUGUCUCGGCACGUCCCUCUUAUUAUAAUUCUGUAAUAGCUAACAUAAUAAGCCAAGAUGAUAGUUUUGUAGGAUCAUCUUCUUCUUCACCCUCCACUUCAUAUUUAGAAUUAGAUAAUUAUCUUAAACAUCACUUUGAAAUUGACCAAGGUAGCUAUAAUAUUUUAGAAUGGUGGAAAGAAAAAUAUAUAAAUUUCCUAUAUUAUCGAGAAUUGCAAAGGAUAUCCUUGCAAUUCCUGCUUUUACGAUUGCAUCGGAGUCUGCUUUUAGUGCAGGUAGAAGAGUUUUAGACGAAAAAGGAUCUCGUCUUGCUCCACAUAGUAUUCAAAUAUGUGUUUGCAAGACAUAUUGGGAUCAAGCGGAGCUUUGAACACAAGAACUAAAGAACGAUGAUGAUCAAGGCGAUGAUGAUGAUGCAUGGAUGAUGAUGGAUACAUCUGCAUCAUCGUCAGGAGGAGAGUCAGCGGAAGCAUCUAACCAACUAGAUGAUGAUGACGAAGACGAAUAGGAUCAAUCGGAUAACGAUCAAUCAACAUUCAACAACUACAAAUAAAAGGUAUGACAAAGAACUACGUGGGCUUUGAUUCCUUCGGGAUACGUAGGCAGCUUAGUAUUCCUUUGGGUACUAGGUUCAAGUCCAUUUGCUCCCUUUUUUUUUUUAUUAAUCAUCUUUAUCGUUGAUUCGUUUCUUAUUAAUUUAUUUUUUUUGAUUCUUUUUAGUAAAUAUUUUAAUAACGAUGACAAGCAAUGAAUUUCGCUAAUAAUCAAGUAAUCAUCAAAGGUAUGUCUGCAAUAUUAUAGUAUUUUUAUAUUAUAUUUAGAGGAAAAAUAAAAAUGGAAUUGAUGGUCCGAUCCGCGAGUUGGAACCGCCGGAAACGCUUCAUGAACCGCCAAGGAACCGUUUGGAACCGUCCGGAACCGAAACAGGAACCGGAACGUUCGAAUCAGGUUCCAAAUGCAAGUUACAUACAACUUGAUUCCUUAGAAUUAAGGAUAAUCUUCCUAAAUAAGGAAAUCACUACCAAUUACACCCAAUUACCUAAUUAUAGGAUAUACACCAAAGAUUAUAUUCUAGUCAAAAAUAUUUCCUAAAUAUAUUUUCCGAAUCAACAAUAUUCCCAAAAGAUAUUUCAACAAUAUUCCCAAAAGAUAUUUCAACAAUAUUCCCAUAAUAGAAAUCUAGGCCGUUCCAAUUGCCGGUCAAGAAAUAUUUCAACGCUUGUUGUUGCAAGAUGCUGCGGUGAGUUCACUGCUUGCGAUAUCUGAUGCAACAGUCUUUAUAAGUGCUUGUAUUUAGAAUUUUGUUUAAACUUGAUUGUGGGACAGGGUGACAUUCUAAAGGCUAGUUUAUUGGAGGAUGAACUGAUCCUGCUCAAUCAAGAGUAUAUUAUCACAAAUGUGACUUUAAAGCGGGUGGAAGAAAAAUUCCAGACAAGGAGAGGCGAAUGCCAGUUAUCCUUCAUCAAUCGGACCUCCAUUGAGUUCUAAUAAGAUAAUAUAGGUUCUGUUUCAGAACCCAAAUACAUCACUAUUGCAGCACUACCCAAGACUGCUGAUACUUAUGACAGAUUCAAUACAUGAAAUCUAAGGAUAAACAAUGAUGCUUAUUAGUUGCUUUACACGGAAACAAGAUUCACACAUUAUAGCAAUUUGAUCAAUUACUUUGCAUUAAGGUGCCUAUGCAUAGCUAAUCAUUCAUAUACUAUAUUUCUUAUCUGUUAACCACCUUUAACAUCCUAUAUUACUAUAUAUAUUAUUAGCAUUAUGAUCUUUAUUAAAGAGAUUAGGGAAGUAAAAAGCUGAAUUGAAAGGCAAAAUUCUGUUCGUGAUGUCUGCAUCACAAAUAACAGGUUUGUUGCAUGAUCGAUUGUUCUCAGAUAUUUGAAAUUGUAUCUGAUGUUUUUCUUAAAAAAGGUAACGGGGGUUUAUCUGCUAAAAAGCUCUCAUCAACCGUUAGUUGUAUCUGUAUGGAAAGACUUGGCCUACGUUUUAGAAGGCAAUGAUCUGAUUGUUAAGGUUAUGGGUUUCACAAAAAUUUCAUAUAUAAGUGUAGGUUUCAGUCUGUGAACUACAAUGUCCUCUUACAUCUUAGAGGCACCAACUAGCAAAGAAGUAGAGUCUCUUGACCAAUGAUAUAUUCUGAUGUUGUUAAAUGUGACUUAACUAGAUAAAUAGCUGCUUGUCUGACAACCACAUAUGCAGGUCUAUCGUGCACUCUCUUGUAGUUUUCUAAACAGGAGAACAAUUUUUAAAAGAUUGGCACAUUCAACUGAAUAUGAAUUCAAACCAUUGUUGCAGUCAACACGAAAACUAUAUGCCAAGCCAUUUUCUCUUCUGUGUUAUCAGGCUUAGUGUCUAUAGUGCUAAUAAAAAAAUACUUGGAUUGUGCAGGCAUCAGACACCAUCCAGGAGAAGGACUAUUGAAUAAGGGUAGGCAUUGAUCCAUUUAGUUAGGCAGAUUCCUCACGUGUGACGAACCCAAACAAAGGGUAUACAAAACAAAAUAUGAUGUUUUUGACUGUCCAAAUUCCUACAAGAGAGAGUGCUAUUUUGUUGACUGAAAGUAGUUAAUCAGAGAUGCCUAACUAAUAAUUUUGAUGCUAGACUGGGGUUAAACUUUUUGGCACGUGUGCCACGGGAAAUUUGGAUUUGUUGGUGUUUACGGAUGCAGUUGCUGAGCUGUUUGAAAAGACAGUCGAUGAAAUCUAUGAACCUGUCAAUGAUGUAAGUUCGUUCAUCAUGUUAAUUGGUCAUACUAUGCACCCAAAUGUCUAGCCUAAACAAUGUUUUAUUGACGCAAAAAAUUGGAAAGUGUUCCAGAGCUAGAGGAGAUGGCUGGGGUUAUGAGGUGAAGUACACUAGCAUUGAUAGCUCUCUGCUUCCUUUUGCGAUGAUUUCCGCAUUGAUCACGAAAUUCUUCCAAAUCUCAGUCGAGUCCCUCUCCGUGCACAACGGAUCUGCCACGAAUGCCAAAUACCAUUGUAUAAAAUAGAUAAAAGAAUUAAACAAUAAAACCAAAACCUUUGGCCCUAUAGAUCUUAUCGGUUAUCAUACUAAAAAUGCCAGCUCAAAUAAACACCCCGCACAUCCUUAAGUACAUAGCCCAAAGUUUACAGGAGUCCAUGAUACAAGCAAUUGAUGUAGAAAUACAAGACUCAAUAACACUUAUCACUUAUAAAAUAAUAGCUAAUAAUCUACUAGUUUGCUAAUUGUUAGUGUAAGAGCCAAACUAUCCAUGUUUGGAGAUGACUUCAACCACACAUUGGGCAAUUCACUAACAUGCCUUGACGAAGGAUGUGUGGUAAAUGCAAAAGAGGAUGUGAGUAUUGAAGGAAAAGCUUUAUUUUCCAU